rnacentral:piRNA from 1 species
GCUUCAGUCAAGUGGCAAACCCAAGAGC